AUGAAAAAACAGAAUAGCUCGCUAAGUUGAAAACCCGAAAGGGCGGCUUAGGCAAAAAUGAGCGUCUCGGUGGAAAACCCGCAAGGGUAAUCCAGGCAAAAAUUAGAGACUUGAAAAAAGAAGAAUAUUUGCAUCCCGCUAGAUUGAGUACCUCACUCUGGGGCAAUCUAGGCAAAAAUUAGGGAUUUGGCAAGUAACUGCAUCCUGACAAGACU
rnacentral:lncRNA from 1 species